UCUCUACCCGGGACAGUCCAGUUCUUCAUACUGGGUUUGUCAGUAGGAGAGGAGGCAGAUCAGAGCAGUGAUGCUGCCCAUUCCACCCUCAGCCAUAUUCUGGCUUUGUAGUGGAAGAGAUCCCUGCAACAAAC
rnacentral:snoRNA from 1 species